AGAGUUUGAUCCUGGCUCAGGAUGAACGCUGGCGGCGUGCCUAACACAUGCAAGUCGAACGAAGCUUGACGGAUGAUUUCUUCGGAAUGAAACCAGAUAUGACUUAGUGGCGGACGGGUGAGUAACACGUGAGCAACCUGCCUUUCAGAGGGGGAUAACGGCUGGAAACGGUCGCUAAUACCGCAUGAUGUGUUCGGAUGGCAUCAUCUGAACAUCAAAGAUUUAUCGCUGAAAGAUGGGCUCGCGUCUGAUUAGAUAGUUGGUGGGGUAACGGCCUACCAAGUCGACGAUCAGUAGCCGGACUGAGAGGUUGAACGGCCACAUUGGGACUGAGAUACGGCCCAGACUCCUACGGGAGGCAGCAGUGGGGAAUAUUGCACAAUGGGGGAAACCCUGAUGCAGCAACGCCGCGUGAAGGAUGACGGUUUUCGGAUUGUAAACUUCUUUUCUUAGUGACGAAGACAGUGACGGUAGCUAAGGAAUAAGCAUCGGCUAACUACGUGCCAGCAGCCGCGGUAAUACGUAGGAUGCAAGCGUUAUCCGGAUUUACUGGGUGUAAAGGGAGCGCAGGCGGGACUGCAAGUUGGAUGUGAAAUACCGUGGCUUAACCACGGAACUGCAUCCAAAACUGUAGUUCUUGAGUGAAGUAGAGGCAAGCGGAAUUCCGAGUGUAGCGGUGAAAUGCGUAGAUAUUCGGAGGAACACCAGUGGCGAAGGCGGCUUGCUGGGCUUUAACUGACGCUGAGGCUCGAAAGUGUGGGGAGCAAACAGGAUUAGAUACCCUGGUAGUCCACACUGUAAACGAUGAUAGCUAGGUGUGGGGGGUCUGACCCCUUCCGUGCCGGAGUUAACGCAAUAAGCUAUCCACCUGGGGAGUACGACCGCAAGGUUGAAACUCAAAGGAAUUGACGGGGGCCCGCACAAGCAGUGGAGUAUGUGGUUUAAUUCGAAGCAACGCGAAGAACCUUACCAGGUCUUGACAUCCGAUGCAUAGCGCAGAGAUGCGUGAAGUCCUUCGGGACAUCGAGACAGGUGGUGCAUGGUUGUCGUCAGCUCGUGUCGUGAGAUGUUGGGUUAAGUCC
rnacentral:rRNA from 1 species